ensembl:lncRNA
GUGAAUUGGGAACGUAAGACUUGUGCUGCGACCCGUUUCACCGCGCAGUGCUGACCUGAACACGCCCAUACUGCUGUGCUGAACUGCACAGAUAACAGACUCCUUCACAUUUUGUCCUUCCCAUCAGCUACUGCACGACUUCGACACACUCUGCUGCAUUGGGCUAAAGAGUGGGUGUGGAUUGAGGCCAACACAUCUUAAUUCCCAUCAUCAGUGUGUGGCUCAGUGGUGUGAUAGGGAUAAUAGGGUUAGGUCGUCCCUGUGGUCUUAAUGAGUUUCUUUUCUCCUCUCUUCUCCUCCCUUGAUCUGUUCUGAUCUCAUUAAUGUCUGGAUAGAGGAAUGUAGCACUGCUGGAAAAUUGCUAGUGUGUCUCUUAAUUUUUCUGGUUGUUUUCGGAACAUAAGAGUGAACUAAGACAUUUAAAAAAAAAUGUGUAGUAAGGUUCAGCUUACUCACAGAGUCGCGGCUUGACUGUCACCUCACUGAAAGAUAACUGGACUGGAAAUGAAGCAGGAAUCAUUGUGACACCUCCUUAGAUUUUACAAGGAUAAGAACAGCUCCGUGUGUGUGGAUACACUUUGUAUACCUGUAUAUAUCUUUAACUUUCCAACUCUGUAAAAAACACUCUUUAGCUUCAGGUCCACUGAUGUAUUUACUCCCAAAGCCUUCAUUACUCCCAUAUACCCCAAUAUGGCUGUUUACUGAGCUCUGUUUUUGAUGGACUGUGCUGAGGAUGUAACAAAAUUCAAAGCCUAACAUUUGGGAUUUUUCGCUUCUUGGAGACUUCAUGGGGAUUGAAAACAAUCAUAAUAUCCUGCAUGGUAUGUUCUGAGAGACAAAAGGACACGUGCUCAUUCUCUGGGAGAAUGAGUUGAGAUAAAUGGUUUUCAGACCCUUAAAGGGCAUCAAGAACCCGUGGAGAAACCAGUUUGUGAGUUUUGCAAAGAGACUCUUGAGACAGCCCUGCCUUUUAAAAGUGGCAAAUAUUUCUUCAAACUGCUGUUUUAUGGCAGUUCCAUGAUGGCACCUUUCAAACACUUAAGAGUGGAUUUAAGGGAACUUUAUGUAAAUGAAUCUGUGUGGGUGUGUCUCUUUUUUUUAUACUGCACGUUUAAACAUGAAGAUGUUUCAGUCUACUGCGAAAAUGAAGAGGGGAGAGAGACAGAGAAAGGCAUCAUGUCUGAGAUCUGCCACCUACUAAUCAAGACACUUUUGAGAAGAGACACUUCAGUGGACGCCAUGUACCUGUCAUCCCCCUUGUGCUGUUACCCUAGCCAUGUACAAAUAAAGUACACUGUAGAACAGACAACCGGAAACCAUAACAAACGAUGGCAUGCUUAAGGUUCAAAUCUGCACUUGAUAAAAAAAAGGAAAAAAAUGUUAUUUUUGUUUUCCUCUUCUUUGUUUUCUUUACCUUUAGGAAUUGGCUCUGUUUCUUUGCCAAUUCCCCCCUGUAAUUACAUAAUGAACUAAUUGCAUUUGCUAUGAUGUGGAAGAAGAAGAAGAGCUCUUGACGAAUGGUUUGGUAUGAAGAUUAAUCAUGUAAAAGUUUGACUUUGACAUUAAAAACUUCAGACAUACCCAUUGGCUGUUAGCACUUUCACUCUGUUCUCAGAUUAUUUCGCACAGUAACAAUGAGAGCAACAGCAGGUGUGACACUUGUAAUGACACCAAGCAAAAUAACUUGCAAUAUUUUUUUUUUAUCAAGAACUGAGCCAAAUGUUGGCAAAUUUAUUCAUCAAUAAAGUCAUUACUUACAGCAAA